UACGUAGGUGGCAAGCGUUGUCCGGAUUUACUGGGCGUAAAGAGCGCGCAGGCGGUCGUUCAAGUCGCGUGUGAAAGCCCCCGGCUCAACUGGGGAGGGUCACGCGAUACUGAUCGACUCGAAGGCAGGAGAGGGUAGUGGAAUUCCCGGUGUAGCAGUGAAAUGCGUAGAUAUCGUAAGGAAGACCAGUGGCGAAGGCGAAUCUCUGGACAGUUACUGACACUGAGGCACGAAGGCCAGGGGAGCAAACGGG
rnacentral:rRNA from 1 species